UACGGGGGGUGCGAGCGUUGUCCGGAAUCACUGGGCGUAAAGGGCGCGUAGGUGGUUUGAUAAGGGUGUGGUGAAAGUCCGGGGCUCAACCCCGGAUCUGCCGUGCCGACUGUCAAACUCGAGGGCUGUAGAGGCAGACGGAAUUCCGGUGUAGCAGUGAAAUGCGUAGAUAUCGGAAGGAACAUCAGUGGCGAAGGCGACUUUCUGGACAGAUACUGACACUGAGGCACGAAAGCGUGGGGAGCAAACAGG
rnacentral:rRNA from 1 species